GACAGAGGGUGCAAACGUUGUUCGGAAUUACUGGGCGUAAAGCGAGUGUAGGCGGUUUGGUAAGUCGGAUGUGGAAAGCCCCGGGCUCAACCCGGGAAGUGCACUCGAUACUGCCAAGCUAGAGUAUCGGAGAGGUUGGUGGAAUUCUCGGUGUAGAGGUGAAAUUCGUAGAUAUCGAGAGGAACACCGGGUGGCGAAGGCGGCCAACUGGACGAAUACUGACGCUGAGACUCGAAAGCGUGGGGAGCAAACAGG
rnacentral:rRNA from 1 species